rnacentral:misc_RNA from 1 species
UUUCCGUAGGUGAACCUGCGGAAGGAUCAUUAAUGAGUUGUCAUGGGGUUCGAUGCUGGCAGCCAGUUUUUGGAUGCAUGUGCUUGCCCUAACAAUCAUCUUCUUCCAAACACCUGUGCACAUUCUUGAGGGAGUCUUGAGUUGGUUGCCGCUCUUGGGUGAUUUUCUCACAUUCCCUUAAAUCAUUAUACGCUAUUAACAAUGUUGAACGUGCUCUGUGCCGCAAGGCCAUUAAUAUAAUACAACUUUUAACAACGGAUCUCUUGGCUCUCGCAUCGAUGAAGAACGCAGU